CAGAAUUUAUCUGUCAGGCCGUGCUGCCCAUGCCAUGGUUGGCACCUUGCCGUGUGGCAGCGGGCCCAGCGGGGCGGCUCGCUCCUCCGCACAGCCCAUGGCCGCGCACGGGGCCCUCUCACCACACGGAGCUGUUCCUCCUCACCGUUUGCUCGAAUGCAAUGUGUUUUUACGGCCCUUUAUUUCUUAACUGCUGUAGACUUGCAGCAGAUUUUUACUGUCUCAAAUUUAUGCCGCGCCAGUCGGAUGGCUGAAUCCCACGGGGAAGCACUUCGCUCGGAAAUUUGGGAUUUUAUGCCGUCAUAAAAACUGCGGUGGCACAGGACCCGAGGAGGAUGCUGGCCUAUUUCUGCACCAUUCCUCAUGAAGACAGUGAGCUUGCGAGGCAAGGGCAGCGUGGGAAACCCCUGCCACUGCCUGGCUGCCAUGGGAGGCACUGGGACCGCAGCUGAGUGCAUGCACAGAGAGUGAGCCACUGUCACCUGGUAGCAGAGGAGGUGACAAGUGAGGUGGCAGCCAGCACGCUUAAUUCAUUUCCUAUGCACCUAUUGGCUGGAUGCCGGAGGAUCCAGUUCCCUGCUCAGGAUUUCUCUCUGCUCUAGGGUAUGGAGCAUGGAGGGAUGCCCAGUCUAUAGCAGCAGUGCCCGGGGAGGGGUGGGAGCUCCCUGCAGCACGGCAGGUUUGCUGCAGCAUCCGGGUGAGCUGAGGAUGAGGGAUGAGCUCGCAACAAGCACCGCAAAGGGACUAAUUAAGUUCACUGACCAAACGCCGUGCAGCCUGGGCUGAAGGCAGCUCCUUCGGUGCCCCAUCGUGAUGCAGCAGCACGCCGACACAGAGCUGCAGUGCCCUGGGACCCAGCAGCCCCUUGUGAAUCCCUGCAACCAUGCUGCAGGGCUGUGCUGCAUCCUACUUGCUGUACUGCAGGGCAGGAAAGUGAUGCUUCGCUUCCUGCAGUAAAUCCAGAGAGCUGGGCUAAUCCUUCCUGCAGGAGGUGUCCAUAGAGGAGGAAAAGAUUAAAUACACCUCUCAUCGUGGAAUGCCAUAGAAGCAAAUGUAAGCUCUAAGAAGAAAGAAAAGUAAAUGAGAACAGAGAGAAAUGAUGUGAAUAAAUGGAAAGAAUGCAAACAGGUAAGUAGGCAGUAAGUUAGGAGAUAACUGUAUUAUUUUAAACAAGGAUAAUGAGAAAGGUUCGAGCAAAUGGCAUAAGGGUUCAUGUUUGAUUGGAAUGCUCUUUCCACCCCUUCAAAGGGGUAAAAUGUUGCAGCAAGGGGAAUUCUGGCAUAGAAAGACCUAGAGCUGCAAAUGGCAGAGCAGUACUGCGGAACCACUGAGCAGCCCACUUGUCAGCAGGCCGUGUUCUCCUUCACCACUCAGUGCUGCCAGCCACCUGACAGGAGAGCUCUGAAAUAAGCAAAUGACAGCAGGAAUAAGUGGAGAUGAAGCACGGCGGUGCUGCAAGGUGAGCAGCUGCUGGGCUGCCAGGUUUGGCUCUGGGGACGGGAUGGGCACACGGAGGAGCAGCGGCGGUUCCACGCUGCAGUGCCUCUUGGCAAGUGCUUGUGGACGGAGCACUAACACCCCGUGCUAAGCCCCCCCUGCAACUUCCACGUCCUUGGCAUUGUAGGGUGACCGCAUGUAAGCGCUGACCCGCAGCGUUUGAGCUUUCCGACCAGCAUGACACCGAUGAGGCGUAAUUACACUUUGUGGUAAUAAUUACAUACCAUGUGGCAAAAUCUGAUGAAGCGCUUUAGAGCUCCGAGAGCCCAAAACCGCAGCGUCUUCAGCACCUGCCAGCAGCAGCUGAGCCAGCCCUGUGCUGGAGAAAGGUUUCAUUUGGCCGGGGUGGAAGAAGAGAGCAUAAACUCGUUAUCUUCUUGGAUGAAUCUCGUGAGACUGGCAGCCCAGCACCAAAGACACCAGACAUUACAGCUGCAGGAGCAGUGAGAGCUUCCUGUUGAACAGGUACACUGAAUCUUCAUCCAGCAGCUUUGUUUUCCCUGUGCACCUUCCUACUAAGGAACUGCUUUGCUUCUCAGUUCUUCAUUCAAUAAAGUGUCUUUUGAAGCAGUAAGAAGCGAUACCUAAUGGGGAGUAUGCUGCUCUGUUACAGAACGUGAUAGCACCAAAAAGGUGUGAAAUCCAAGAUCAUUUUCUGGUUGUUAUGUAUUAAAUUAGAGUAAAGCUUCCCGAGGUGAAAAGAAUCGCUCUCCAUUACCAGACUCUUGGCUGUAAAACGUGUAGGUUACAUCUCAUUAUCACUUAAGAAUUAGAACCUCAAGGUCAUGAAUAACAAAAUAUGUGCCGCGACCCUCCGCAGAAUUGGAUUAUUAAGUCAGCUAAGGAUAUGUGUAAUUUUCUGUCAUUUGUAUGACCUUCCCAGAUUAAGGUCAGUGCAGUGCUUAUCAACAGAGCACGUGUCUUCGGGGCCCUGAACAAGUGAUGAGACUCUCCAGAGAUGCUGCACUUAGCUGAUGAAUUUGCAGGCUGUGGACACUUCUGGAGCACUCUCAGCCUGGCCCUGGCAGUGCUGCACGGUGCCCAGGGCUGGGGCAGGGAUCUGUGGGACCAACCACAGUGUAAAUGCUGGGUGGGAAACCGGUGGGCCCAAGACUGCAGAGGCUUCUGCAGCACUUGAGGCAACUGCAGGAAAGAAAGCAUCAUUUUCUCCUUGGAGUUAAGUAGUUACAUUUGGAUUAAAUUUGGUUAAACAGUUAAAUUUUCUCCUUGGGGUUAAAUCUGGGCAGCCUGAUCUAGUGGUUGGCAACCCUGCCAGUGGCGGGGGGGGGCUGGAACCAGAAGAUCCUUACGGUCCCCUCCAACCUAAGCCAUACUAGGAUUCUAUGAAACAGUAUUUCUUUCCAUAAAAUUUGUUUUCAAGUUAUCUGUGUGUGUGUGUGUGUGUGUGUUUGUUUUUAUCCCAAUAACAUAUGGUACAGUAGAUGUUUCCUAACUGCUGCACAUAAUUUAGCAGUGAGUAGGUGAUAUUAUAAAAUAUGUACCUUGGCAAAUGUGCAAGUCCUUUUAGCAAAAUUUACAAUGGAGCAAUCCCAAAGAGAGGAAUGGGGAACUCACUGAAAUUUGAAAAUCCUUUCCCACGCCCCAGUCGUAAGUCACCUGUGUGCUGUGCAGUAACAAGCUUAGUGCCCGGCGCUUGCAAUAGGAAGAUUUCAUAAAUUAUCCAACUGCUUGCUGGAGCCUCUUCUCUGGGAUGCUAUCCAGUCAGCUGCACUCAUGCCAAAUUGUACAGCAGUGCCGGAGUCAGGAUUGUGAAUAUUCUCUGAUUUAGAGGUCUAAGCAACUUAGAAGCUUAACAGACAUGGGCAGUUAAGGCAAUUUCAUGGGAAGCGGCUCCUCAAGUUUUUACUCUGCACUUCCUGCUCCUUCUUAAGCUCUAGAAGAGGAAAAUUCACAGGCUUUGUUUUCAGGUGAAGACUCAGAGGCUCAAUUUUAUAAUAGUUAGAUUUAUGUCCUAUUUCCCGUUACGUUUUUCUGUGUUUGGUUUUGAGGAAUAAGACCAAAAGAUGUGGGCUGUGCCUGGCACCUCCUGCCCACCCACAGCUCUGAGCAUGAGCCAGAGAAGCUCAGGAUCCCCUGCAAACUCGAUGCCGAGUUCAUCAUUUCCAACCUGCGUGCCAACGUUUCAGCUGCUGCAGCAGAGAUGGAAGCAGGGAACCCUUUGCUAUGUAACUUCACAGGCUUUUGUUUUUGAAAAAUUGAAGGUCUUCUUUGGACAUCCAGUGGGAACAACCCUUCCUCUUAAAUAGGGAAAGUAAAACUCAUCUUUUGCAACAUAUUUCUGCCUUGCACAUUGUUGCUUAUUGCCACAUAAAUCUCCUACGUAUACCAGUUUCCAUGACUGUCUCUCCAGGUACUGUCAAUAAUUUCAGACAGCCUGCCUGCUGUCCCUCUGGUUUUACAUUGGGAAUGGCUUUGUUGAACCACUGCCAGUCCACAAGGCUGAGCAUGACCAGGCCUGGUGCUUCCAGCACAAAGCUGCUUCUCUGCAGCACAGGCGUGCAGUCAGGUUUGGAAUCCACUCUUGCUCUCGGGAAGAGAUGUCUGCAAAUCUUUUGAGGUGUUCACGGGGAGUUGUGGAGUCCCCAGCACAGCAUGGACUCCACAGAAAGCGAAAACACAGAGCAGUCAAAGCCACAAUCUGGGCAGCAUCUAUUCGUGCAGCUAGCCCAUCCCGCCUGCCAAAACUUGUCUUGAAACAGGAGCUUUGCAGGAUUGUUUGUUGGCGUAAGCAGCGCUCUUGAUGGGGUUUUGAUAGCUGCAGUCCGGGCUCUGUGCUCAACAUAUAAUUUAUACCAUAAAGGGGUUUUGCAGAUGGUGUUGCAGUAUAAACAGACAAUAAUUUGCAUCUGCAGUCAUGUCAGCUUGAAGGGGAACCGAGGGGGCUUUUCCAGCUCGUGCUGCAGUGAGUCACAAAACGAACAGGUCAUUUUGGGAUGCAGAGGAGGGGAAGAAGGGAUGGGGCGUGCGUGUUGUGCAGAGAGUCACCAGCACGAGGCUUCCUCGGGGGGUGUCGUGGUGUGGCUGCUUGUCCUGUUCACGUGCUCGUUCCACAGAUGAUUUUGUGACAUGAUGUGUUUUUGCCCCUAGAUGCUGGCGGAGGCACUGCCGCAUUGCCUUUGGUACUGGGCACAGCAGAGCCCUGCGAGGAGCUCAUCCACGAUAAGAAGGAGGAAGCUGUACUCUGGACCCAUCCACCAUCCAGAAAAAGGCAAAUUUUCAUGAGGACGAGCAGCAUAGAACUGACUGAGCCUCGUGCAGCACUAGCUCUGGGAGGCGUUCCCAAGGUUGGCAAUGCUGCUGAAGAGCAGGGUGCUUGCCCGAGCUGCCCGGAGGGGCCGAGCAUCGCAAGAGCGAGGAGCAAAUUUCCUUUUGGCUGGGAUCCUCCUGGCUGCGUUCAAGCCUUUUGCAGAAUCUCUUUAAUAGAAAUGCAAGACGUCUGAAUGAAUUUUGUAUGCUCCUUGAACUGCUCAAGCCUUUGAAACGACUCAGCUGGAAGUUUUAGUCGAUAUCAAUGAAGACAUUUAAAAUAUCUUUGUGCUCUUCUGUCAAUAAAAGAUGGCAAAAGGCUAAACAGACGGAAUUAGGCAGCAGUCAGAGAUUCAACCGGUACUGAGCAUCCUCCACAGGGAAAAAGCCGUUCAUUAGUAAUUGUAAUUGAGAAAUUUGAGACGAAUUUGUGUCAGUGUUUGUAACUAAAGAUACAGCUUUCAUACACUGUUUUGAAAAAAAUAUAUAUUAGGGGCUUCGGCUCUCAAACCACGUCUCACAAUUUUUAAAGUGAGCAUGCGUAGAAGUUGCAUCGUUUGGGCAUUUUACAAGUGUAAUUAAUAGGAGUGAACACUGUUGGAAAGUGGCCCCACUCCAUUAUAUGAUUAAUGUAUGCAUAUAUCAAUAGAGAAUUCAGAUAUUUCUUUAGAAUUAAAAUGUCAUUUAUUUUCAUUAAGUAGUUUUUCUUUUUUUUAAUUACAAUGUAAGGUAAAUUUUGACUUAACCAACCAGGGCAGCUGGGGCCCAUGGGCUGCUCUGUGCUGGGAGAUCAGGUGAAGAUGGCUGCAGAGCAUGCAGCAGAAGCCAGGUUAGCUUGGCUCGGACACUGCUAUGCUUUCAUAGCACUACAGACAUCAGCCACACCACUGGCCUGGCCUCUUCUGCUCGGGCAUUGCUUCACUACAACCCACUGAAUUGUGUGGGAAUAGUCCGUGAGUGAUGGUAGGGGUCGAAAUAUGUGAUAAAUCUACUUAUUAAUGAUUGAUUCAGCGCUGGAAAUAUUCCAAGUUCCAUCUUUUUCCAACUCAGUUUGCAAAUUCUGUGUUCUCUGAAGAACACAGCAAGUAGAAGAACCGAGCUACGAUGUUAAACACCCACGUGAGCCAUCAUACAGCGCAGGCAGCCUUCGUGGCUGGGUGAAUGUAGGAGUGCACCUAUGGAGAGGAACUGCAGAACGACUGUGGGAGCUCCAAGGCUGGAGGAGUUUUGGGAGCUCUGUCAGCACCUCCUGCCAUGGGCUUGUGGUGCCUUCCAAAAGUCAGCAGUGCAGCACAGCGUUGCUGGUGUGCCGAGUGCUGGAUAAGAUGCCUUUUGAAAGCAACGUCUUCCAGUUAAUCAGGGAAGGAAGUCAGCGCUGCAGAAAAAGGAUGAGAUGAUGUUGUGCCAGGCAACUCUCACAGCCCUCAAGUUUUGCCUAAAUGCAGAGGGUGCUCCAGAGAUCAGCACAAUGACUUGCGCCAAUACAUGCCCCUUGACUUGAUUGGAUUCGAUCCUUAUGAAUUGUUUGAAUCUGUAACACAGCUGUGGUAGAAAGUUUUUGGAUGAGGAACUUCCAAACAACUUGUGAGCACAGUCUGGCCUUGUCUGUGUAGUGGAGAUGCUAAGUCACAGCCUGAAGCAGUGAUGGAGCACCUGGUGGGAAGGCAGGGCCAGCCCAGGGGAGCUCAGGUGCAUGCAAUGUACUUGAGUGAUGGAAGGGCUGGAGCCAGGAUCCACCCUUUCCCAGCCCCCCUUUAAGGGCUGGCAGUGGAUGUGUGGGGAUUUUGCUGGAGAUCCCUGCCUGCCUGAGGCCUUCCCAGGGCUCUAACUGCAGGCUCCGUCAGGCAGCACGUGCUGGGGAGGAUUUCUUGUCCUCAUGUGGUUGGCUGCGUUUCCCCCAGGAUGACCCAACAGCAGAAUCCAACGGCCCCGACAGGCGCAGCAUCUCCGGCAGUGGUGCUGAUCAAAGGCACAACAAACAGCUCCCGCAGAAAAUCAGUGGGAUGUGCUUUGCUCCCUCAAGUGUCUAUCUGGCUAUAAAAGCCUCACUGGAAUGUUUAUACCCUUUUUCAGUUUCAAAGAUUGUUAUAUCUUUUUGUCUUUCCUUUACACUGUUAACGACAUCUGCUUCAGCGCUGCAUUCCAUUUGUCGUAUCGCAGGACUGUAGAAGGUCCUGAGUUGGAAGGGACCUACAAGGAUCACGCAGCACCACCUGAACCCUAUGUUGGAGCUGCAGGCUGCCAUGAGGAACUAUGGGCCGCCAUGAAGAGCUGCAGGCUGCCAUGAGGAACUAUGGGCUGCCAUGAAGAGCUGCAGGCCGCCAUGAGGAACUAUGGGCCGCCAUGAGGAACUAUGGGCCGCCAUGAGGAACUAUGGGCCACCAUGAGGAGCUGCAGGCUGCCAUGAGGCCUCACCUCAGCCUCCUCUGCUCUGGACUAGACAAACCAAGAGACUUCAGCCACCCAUAUAUCUUGCUCUCUUGCCCUUCACCAUUUUCAUAGCCCUCCUUUGGAUGCUCUCUCCUGGCUUUGUGUCCUUCUGUUAUUGUCCGGCCCCAAACUGGAUGAAGCCACACCAGCACAGAGUAUCGUUAGGUCAUUGAAUCACCAAAUAGUUUGAGUUGGAACGGACCCUUAAUGACUGCCUGGUCGCAUUCCCUGCAAUGCACAGGGACACCCAUAGCUCCACCAGGUGCUCAGAGCCCAUCCCCUGACCUUGGUUGUCUGCUGGGACGGGGCACUGCCACCUCUCUGGAGCUAAUAUAUGAGCUCUGAGCUAAGAUUUUUCCUCCUCACAACUGUAUUUUGCAAAGCUACAGCUGUACAGACCUUACGUUUUCUUUUUCCACUGCAUAUUUAUUUCUACUUUUAUUUUUGAACGAUAGAUAACUUUAUAGCAUUAUUUGUCGUGUGUUAAAAUAUUUAUAGCCCACCAUGCGAAAAAAGUAAAAUGAUUAUUUUUCUUGGGAAAUUAGAAUGUUGGCUGGAAACCUGAAACGUUUUGGGUUUUGCAGAUAAACAGAACGCUCUCUUCCAGGGCUGCUCCUGGAAAUGCUGUGCAGCAGCUGGGUGUUAUUUUUAAAGCUGAAAGCACUCAGCUUCCCAAGCCCAUGCUCCAGGUAGGAAGAGGGAGGAAUUAUUUUAGACAUUCUGCCACAGACCUAACAGAAGGAAGCUCACCACCCAUUACCAAUGACAAGGAGAGAAAUACAGAAUGGAAAAGGAGUGUUUGUGUGUUAAUAAAAAGGGUAAGCUAAAAAAAUUGCAGCAGAAAAGGAGAUUUGGGGAUCUUCCUUGUACAACAGCAAUUCUGCUGUGCUAUUGCUACUGGCUCUGUUAGAGCAGAGGCACAGCUCUGCCCUGGGGGGGAGAUGCAGCUUCAGGCUGGGAUGAAACCAGCCAGCUCUGCUCUAAGUAGGGUUGGAAAGCAAGCAGAUUUGAAUGAUCAGAGAGUAGACAGAUGGUUUCUAAAGUGCUGAGAUGAAAAUAUCAGCCAUGAGUUUCUGACCCUGUGAACCUGACCUUUAGACCAGUGCUUUAUUUCUGACACAGAUCUGCCCAGAACCCAACAAAAUAAGGUUGUAUCUUCUGCCUGGUGUUUCAGAAUAAUAGUGCUCUGAUCUCUUUAAAGUAUUUUAAUGAGGAAAUGCCAAAGUAGGUGUGAACUAUGGAAUCUCUGAUGGGGACCACCUGGCAAAGGUCACCAUUAAUUUGAAGCACAAAGCUGUUCCUUUGGGUUAAGUUGGUGCUUUAGUCAUACUGCAGAAGGUGAUUGUCACAGGGUCUUGCUCUCUAGCAUGGAACUGCCAAAGCCAAUAUAAAGCUGUAGCAUCUUGGAGGCACAACAAGAUAAACUGCUGUUGAUCUGUGUGACAAAGAAGUGUUCUUGUUUUCUGUUGUUGUUGUUGCUGCUGCUGCACCUUGACUUGUGGGAAGCAGCAUGACUCAGUUCUGCCUUUGGCUGCUGUCACUGUCCAGCCACUGUUUUCUGUUCUUGCUUCUGUUUCUAUGAAGUUGGUGCACCUGGGCUGCUGGCUGUGCUCCCUAGGACCCUCCCUGUGAUCCUUUCUGGUGAGCCUCUGCUAUGCUUGAACCAGGGCAUAAUUUCUCUUGGUGAGUCUGAACAGCUCCUUUGUAUCUUUUAUAGCUUAGAAUUGUGAAGAUUCAUGGCCUUUGCUGUGAAUGCUACUUGCUUUGCUCCCUGUCCCUUUCACUCUUGGCUAUCCCUGGUGGAAGUGCCCAGCCAGCUGAAGGCUGGUCCAUUAUUCCUUACCAUGUUCCACUUUUAAUUGCUGUCUGUAUUUCUAAUUAAUGCUGCAAGCUAAUAACCUCAGUCCAUGAGGUUAUGUAUUCUAGACAAAAUGAGCCCCGAAGGCAGUAGAUUCUUACUAGAAAACAGUACCCAUGUGGAGCUGCUGCUUGUGUCUCGUCCUCCAUAGACCCUGGUGAUUGCUGGCCAACUGCACCUCAUUGUGAUGGUGUGUGCUGCAGUACCAAGGCAUGGCCGCAGUGCUAAGGCACCACAGCACUGCCUGGGCCAGAUGAGGCUGGGUGAAAUCAAAGCUACUUUGAACUAAUUUUGUCUUGGCCGUGUGUUGUUUUAAAUACUGCAUUGAGGUGAUGCAAACAAGGGACUAUGUGGGAAGCCCAUGCACCAUGAGAAGCAGAGGGUAAUGGGGGUAAUUGGAGUGGCUGUUAAGGAGGGGCUCAGAGCUCUCACUGCCCUUGCUGCAGAGAGCAGUGUUGGGCUCCCUGCCUCACUGUGCUCAUCCCCAGGUGUCAAGCAGAGGUGUUCUGAUGACUUGUCACCAGCAGCAGCUGAAUCUGUUGGUCCACAGCCUUGCCUGCUGUGCAGUUUGCAGGCUUACAUCAUCCCAAAGAGAGCUUUGGCCAUAGAGAGAGUGUCUUAAGAUGUGAGGCUCCCAGACAGCACGAGUGGGCUCUAAGAACUUUCCUUUAAAAGGUGGAGCAGUCACGGAAACAAGAAUCAGAGCUCUGCAGCCUCUCCUGCCAUGAACGCUUCCCUGCAGAGCUGGCUGCUUGUGCUCCUGAGAACAAGUGCUAGUGUCUGCUCUGCCUCUGCUAAGUCCACACAGAGCCAGCUGCUCCCAGCUCUGCCCAGGGCUGACUGUGCUCUCCAUCACUGGGUUUCUCCAUGAUGUGCCCCUGUGCAGCUCCCUGCCGGCCUCCCUAACUGAGCAGAGUCUCUCAGCAGCAAGGCUUGCCAAAGUGGAUGGUAACCUCCGAGUGCAGAUUCUCAGGGUAUGAUUUCUAUAUUACAGUGCUUCCUACUUUUAAAGAAGUUAUAACUCAAUGCCCAGAAAGUGCUCCCUAGCUUAAUUCAAAGAUUACUGGUGAUGAUUAUAAUUUAAAAAAAUUAAAGUAACUCAGAAAUUAAGUACUACUGACAGCUCUCUGGCUGAUAAGUUCCUAUUACCCUUUGCUUGAUAUACUUGUAUUUGAGCUAAGGAUAUGCUUUUCUAACCUAAUGGAGGCCUGGAGGAUCACUUCUGAGCAGCUCGUGACCUUUCCUUGUUUGCAGCAUUCAACAGAGCCCCACAUCUGCCACAGACUGGCUGAGGGACAGCUGAAAGCAGAGCUCUGUGCACCCGCCUGGCUGACUGACACUUUAAGUGACUUUGUCUGCAAAGGUUACUCAGCUAAUAUAGCUGAGCAGGAGAGAAAACGCCAGCACUGUAAUCUCUGUCACUGUAGCAAAGUCUGCACUGCGCAGCAUUGCCGGCUGUGGGUAUGGAAUUUGUGCCUGGUGAAAGGACACGGAGUCGGUGGCACGUGCAACUUGUCACUAAUUAACAGCUGCCUUCUACUCCAGCAGUGCUUGAGAUCAGCAGAUUCUGUGAACAAAGAAGCUGUAGUUUGGGUCGUUACAAGAGAGAGCAACAAAGCCGGGCAGCAUGAAGGAUAAUUGUCGUUGCAUUGUAAAGAGUAUCCUGAGAGCACCCAGGCUGUUAGGUGUGUCUGGAGCCCAGAAACCUAUUUUCAUCCACCCCCUCUGCCUCUUGGCACCACAGGCAGCCCUGCUGCUGGAGCCCCUGCUGGUGCCAACCCAUCGGGUCCCUGAACCUCAGAAUGGCACUGGGUCUCCAUGAAAUUCCUCAUGAGGACGAGAGGGGAAGGCAGGAUCCCAGGUAGCUGAUGUGUGGACGAGGUGUCCGGGUGCAGUGGCAUCCACUCCCAAGGUUAGCACAAGCCAUGAAAUGUUUUCACUCCCAGCCUGAUAAUUCGGCAGGCUGCUUGCAAUGGGGGAGGAGUUUUUUGGCAGAGCAGCUGAAUGGCAGCCAGAGAAGGGUACAAGACAAUCUGAACAAUGUUCAUCGCGAACAUUUUGUAAUACUCCCUUUAAUAACUGGGGAGGACUCAAAUUUGCUCUUUUACACAUCUGUCACCCAAAUAUAAUCUGAAAGUUUGGGCUUCUGGCUCUCAUCCUGGUGACAUCAAAUGGAGCUGAAUGCUAAAAAUGAAUUUCUUCAAUAAUCGAACCAGGCCAAGAAAGUCUGUAGUACAGAAAGAAGUUCAGGAUACUUGCGGUAGUGCUGGUACACAGUACUGCCCACCUCACAGCACACUUUGGUGCUUGACACAAGCACUAAUUGCUCUAACAACAAAACUCAACAGAUGUGGGUACUGUGCUUCUCACUGCACAUCCUUGGGGACAAAGAUGAGCCAUGGUAAUGUGGAAAUGGAAGAGGCUGUUCUUUCCAUUGUAACCUUUCUUAUAUUUUGAGAAAAUCAUUUUGUAAAAACUCCUUUUUUUUUUUUUUCAAAGAAAACAUAAAAGCUUUACCGUUAUUAUUUUAUUUACGUGCUGGACAAAGUGUGUCACUUUGAAAGACUGCUGCCAUUGCACCAACAAGAUGAGGAUAUGCAGUAUUUACUGCAAAAAUCUAACUUUUUGGCAACUCUUCAUGAACUGGAUAAGCAAAAUGUUUAUAGGAGCUUGUUAACCUUCAUCUGCAUCUAUGGAGUGGCUGGCAAAUGUGUUAGGGCCUUAGACAGGACCUUGACGAUCAGCAUUUCAGUUCCAGCCUAUCCCACUGUCCCCUGAGGCUGUCCUAGCAGCCACGACAAAGGCAAGGGAACCUGCAAACCCUUUCUUUGUUCUUUCCUGAUUCUCUUUCUGCUACUUUUCUUCUGGUCCUUCCCCCUCUCCCUCACACACGUCCCGUUCAUCUUUGUUAUUUCCAGCAGAGCUACUUGCAAUCUUUGCUGUGGAUUCAGCGUUUGCUCCUGGGUUAUUUCUGAUCUGUUCUUUAUUCCUUCAAACACGUUUUGCUGCCUCAUGUUGGAAAUGAUGUCAGAGGGCUUGUGGUCUGUGUUUCUAGACAAGAAUAAUCUUAUUUCUACAAGACUCUCACUUUAAAUCUCGCGCAUUACAUUUCUGAUACUCUUAGUUUUAAUAUCAGCUUUUGGCGUUAAUACUCGAAUAAUCUACGGAUAGAAUCCGUUAGAGUUGAAGGCAGAAGUCAGAUGUUCAACACGAGCUGAUGGUCUGGACAAAUGGUUAGCUAUUUAGUAUCUUAAAAGCUGAUAGAUUUGGCUAUGUAUUACUGGCUCCCCGUGCUGUGGGCAAUACGGAAUGGUGCUAUAAUCUCUCUGAUAUGUCAUAGGGUAGCAACUUUUUUUUCACAGAAAACUAAUCCUUGACAGCAACAAAUUGGAAGUUCCUGGACUUGGAAGUGAACGUGGGUAUUUUCAUCAGACGUUUGUAUUUUCUUCAGUAACUGUGAAAUCAAAAGCACUUCUAAAAAUCCAUCAAGGACACUUUGGAGUCAUGGGGAAUAUCCAGUUUGGUCUGCUAGAAUUACUAGAUGAAAGAGACAGUGGAAAAUAAUAGUUGGCCAGACUGGUCUCGGGAAAACAUGACCGAAAUGAGUAAAGCCAUUAUGAAAACCAAUUUACCCUAGUAACCUGUAACUACACGGGCUUUUUCUGUUAUUUCUGGACUCAGAGCUCUGUGUGAUUAAUGGAUCAAACCGUGUAAGCUAGACCUGAAAUGUCUAUUCAAAAAUAUUACGUUAAAUGCUGCUGCACAUUUUCAUACUGUCUGCCUGAUAAUAAAGUCACAGGAGAGAAAGAACAGUAAAGAACUGUCUUAUCUGUACAAAUAACACCUUGCAUUUUGGAAACAGAAUGAUGUGCUUUGGAGGCCACUGCUGCAGUAUUAGAUGACCACAGAGGAUGCUGCUUUCAAAAGCAGCACAGCUGAGCCUCCUGCCAGAGCUCUGCUCUGUAGCACUCACAUUUAGUGCUGGACAAACCAACCUAUAGUGUAUUUCCCGUGGUGCCGUGCAACCCCUCUGAGCUCCUGCAAGGAGGAUUUAAAAAAAAAUGAAGCAGAAGACAAGGACAGAUUUAAUGAGGGCUUUUGCUGUGCAAAGUCUGUGGCACAAGGGCCAAGCUAAUGGGGAAGGAAUAGAACGGUUUGCAGAAGGCAGGCGCUGUGCUGCAGCACCGCUUCACCCUGCUAAUGCUGUACAAUAGGAUUCCGCUGAAACUUGGAUGUUGGCGAGCUCAGCUCUGGCUUCCUGCACAAAGACAAAUGUUGUGCUACUCGCAAGUGUGCCUGGAAUGUAAUUCUGCUGCCUUGCCAUUCGUUUGUGGUACCUUUUCACAUUUGUGCUAAUGAGAGUUCUUUUCCAGAACUCCGGAAAAAGAGAACAAUCCAGCAAAAAAAACUGCCCCGAUCCCUGACUUGGACGAUGUUCAUUCUGUGAAACAAACAUUUAUUUGUGCUUUGGAAAGCUUUAUAUCGCUUUGUGCUUUUCGUUUUUCAAAGCAAAAUUUUUCAGUAAAUGAGGCUGUGAUCCGGCUCUGGCUGCAGAAAGCAAACAGUGCUGCUCAGCUGUGGAAAUCAGGAGGCAAUGGGAGCUUCUCAGCGAAGCUUCUUUUCCCAAGAGAUCCUCAUCAGUGUUCCCAUUGCAGCUUGUUCCCAAGGAUGAAGUUCCCUGUCCCUCUCCCAGGCACGGAGCUCGUUGCGUCCUGCCCUCAGCUCCCUGCCAGCCCUGGGCUGAGAGCUGGUGGCUGCUGUGGCUGCAGUGCUCUUCACUGACGGUCGUUAAGGUUGGGAAAGACCUUUAGGAUCUUCAAGUCCAAGCGUCAAUCCCAAGCGUUCCCCCUCUCCAUUUCUGAGCCCAGGACUCUCUCGCAUCUCAGCCCAGCAGAAUGGAAGCAGCAGUGAUCUGAGAAAAAUAAAGUAUAUUUUGUAGUCAGAGCUUAGGGAGGAAAAGAAAAAUCAGAUGAGGCUUCCUGGAGCUACCCAAUCUCUUGAAAAUAAAUGAACAGAUUGCCGUGAAUGAAUAAACUGCUUAUGACGCUAAUUCACAUUCAGGAGGCCAUGAAGCUGAGGGUACCAGUGAAGAUGACAGCAACAUUUCCCUCUGAUUGUUCCUGCAUCGUGCCGUUUCAUUUCUGAAGGUAGCAAACAGAAGGUAGCCGUGCUUUGCACACAAACUGCUCGGCGCAGAUGGCUCAGGGUGCGUCUGUCGGCUGCGAGCUCAGUGCACGGCUGCUGCCCACGGGAGCUGCAGCAGCAUCUCGGGAAAGGAAAAAAUGGGGAAAUGCAGUCAAUAGCAACCAAAGGGCAAUGAAUCUCAUGGCCUGCAGGUGAGUGCAGGCACUGUGCAUGUCGUGGUGGCAGUGGCAGAAUGGAUCGAUGCCCUGUGCCUGUCUCAGCAUGGGGCUGUGCACUGGGGGUGCCUCAGUCUCACUGAGCCCUGAGGGAGCAGUGGGGCUCCAUGCCUGUCCCCAGCUGGCUGCGUGCAGCACAGCAAGGUCAGAGGCUGUCACAGAAUCAUAAAUUCGGUCAGGUUGGAGAAGACCAGCUCUAAACUGUUCCUUAUUUCAUCUGGUGCAGCUCUGGAAAUUGGGUCGUUUGACAGAGUUGGGGUUUUUUAGAUAAGCCAUCUGUAUUAGCUCUUCCAAGUGGUGUUUUGGUAGAUUGCUUGAGAUGUCAAAAUGGACAGACUGUAAAAAUCUGUGCAAAAGCAAUAACUUGUUAUGGAAAUCCUUGAGUGAAGCUGCAUUCAGCAGAGCAAAUUAUGAAUAUGCAAUUCAGGCUGUACCUACUGGGCUCGUAGGUUGCCAUUGCUUUUAGCUUUUACGUGCAGACAGCCUCAUUCAGCAGAAUGGCAUUCUGACAUCCAGAAAAGAAAUGCCUAGCUCUUACCAGCUAACAAUAGAUGAAGUCACAUUUUGCUAUGACUUACAACUUUGCACCAGCUAAUGCUUCUGUUUGCUUGGGGAUGGUCACAGACAGAUGCUCCUUGGUGCAUUUGGUAGAGAAUGCUGAUCACACAUCAAUUAAAAGCAUCUGGGUGUAGUAGCUCCCCAACACCACACAGCUGACGUGGGUGGGAGCUCAGGCACUCACACAGCAGGUGCUCACCUUGCUGUCUGUACAAAGCUGACCUUCCAGAGCAGCCUUGGAGCUGCUGUGCCUUGUCUUGCAGGGAAUCAUGGACAAGAAGAUAGACUGAUGGUAAAUGCAUGGCAAUGAGCGUGGAGAUGCUCAGAUGCCUGCUGUGCACAACCACAGCUUGAGGCUCAGUCAAGUUUGCCAAACUAUUGAACUGAGAUUUAUAACACAAGCACCUGUAGUGCAACCAAAGCAGUGUUAUCAGUUACUGCCUCCGGAGAUGGAAAAUGCAUGGCUGGUGAUCUGCAGCCUGUUGGGCUGCCUUGUUCCCCUUCUGAUGCCAGCAGUCUUGUGUUGCUGCCUAAAAAACCUGUCUUAUGGUAUGGGUUAUUCAGAUUCGUUACUUCUUAUUCUUUUGGACUGGAUUUUGUUAUCUAUGUACAAAACAUAGAUUACUUAUUCCUGUGGCUUUUGCUCUGUUUCCCAGUGGCUGAAUGAUGGGCUUGCAUUGUUUUGACUGGGAAAUGUGUGGUUUCAGUUCCAGAUGAUACUGUCCAGAGUGGGAAUAGUGGGGCACUAUGGAAUCUGUAGAGGUUUGGUACUGCAAAGUAGUUCCAGUCAUGGCUCAGGCACAAGGCUUUUAAGAGCCUGUGUUCAGCCCUGCAGGCACAGGAGCAUUCCCACAUGUAGAGGUGAGGGUUGUGGUUGGACCAUGUGGGUAAUGAGGGAGGAAUUCAGUCCCAGGGAAACUCUGAAAUGCCUUUGAGUUGGGCAAAAGCAGUUCCUUCUCUUUUGGCUCUACAGCUGAGUUGUUCUAAUUUGGACCAGGUGGAAACCGUAUCUCUUCAGGUGAAAAGCGAAUGCAGCUAACAGCAGCGAAGGCUCUUCUGAGCAAGAACCAGGAGCUGCUGUGAUAUACCAUUCCUCCUGCCACAAGCAAAAUAGGUGACACCAUGCUCUGACUGUGAGAGUGAUCUGUGCAGGGAGAGGUACCUGAGGUUGAGGACUCUGCUGAAGGGCAAAGGAGCAGGGCAGAAAUAACAUGCCCCCAUAAAUGGGGGUGAAGCAUCAUGUGGACACUGAGCACUCCUGCAGGAGAACAUAGAAGGAAAAUCCAGCAGGAAAGCUAUCGCCUGAGAGGGCUCCUCUUUGCCCGAGGAAUGCUGAUCAUGUAUUAAAUACUGAGGGAAGUCCAGUGACUGCUUGGAUGCAGGUAACUAAGGCACAACAUGAGUAUUAGUUUGAAAGGGUCAUCCUUCCUGUAGCUUUUAUUUUCAGCUUUCAGCAGUCAGCUGCAUGGGAGUUUCUUGGCCAUUGGAUUUAACAGUCAUCAGCGGACCAAUCCUCCCCAAAUCUCCCUGAAUCACUUUUGAAUCCAGUAAUACCUUGGUGUUAUCUGGAGCUAGUAAGUUGCAUGCAUUUUAUUAUCUGCUAGCUGAAAAUGCCUCUGACUUGUGUUAAACUUCUUUGAAGAUCCUUCUGCUAUUCACUCUCCUUGAGAGUGGAAGGCUGUGUGUGUAACUGGCUUAUGGAGGUCACUGAAGAAUGGGAGAGCAAAGAAAAAGCGUGGUCCCAAAGGAGAUGGUGGGUGGAAGUCUUCCCUUUUCCUUAAAUUGGGUGCACGUGAAGCUUUCCAGCUCAGCUCUGGAGGAUAUCCAAGCUGCACAGUAGCUAUUUUUGUUAAACUGUUUUCUUGAACAGCUGCCUACUUGUGAGAGUCCCUCUGCAUUUAUUUUCUGUCUUGAUAUUCCUCUGGUAAUAGAAUAUAGUCAUUUGGACUGGAAUAAAAAAGGAAUUAAAAGCCUGUAGUAUAUACAGGUAUGGGUUUUCUCAGUACUUUUCCGCUGUUGCUGAGGGUAGUUGAAUUUAACUCCUAAUUACACAGGAGGAUUUUGCAGGCUAAGCAAUGUUGAUGCUUUAAAGUAAAUUCCUAACUGGCAAUUCAAAACAGUUCUACAGCCUUGUUUAAGGACACAGAAGGUCUUCAGUGUCCGUGUCCUUAUCAGACUUGUUUUACUUGAGCUUAGUGCACUCUUAUGCAACCAAGAUGUUAAUAUUUCUAUGUACCUGAUUAUCACAGUGAAUUUUGUGCUUAUACACAGGUGUAAGAACAUUAAAUAUCACUUUCAUGCCUUUAUAUAAUAUCUGAGGCUCUGUUCACUAUGGCAAGAUCAGCAAGCAUAAUAAAUCAAUAAAAUUGAGAGUUUACCUAGCACUUACAAGAACAGUCUGAUUCUUGGUAUCAAAGAUGCAAUUAUUUUUGGUUUGCCGAUUUGGAACUUUCCAGACUCCAAAGAACAGGCAGUUCAAGCCUGAUCUGAGCAUAGCAGUUGUUUCAUUGGAGCUUCUGUGGGGAAAGAGGGCUGUGUUUCAUAAUACGUGGCUUCCUGCACCAUCCGUUCUCCCAGUCCCUUUUCUCAAAGUUCUUAUGCACUCUAAUCCCCCUAUCUUGAAUAACACAAAGUUUCACUGCUAUCAACACAAACGGAGUGUGCUCUGCCCUGUUGUCUGCACACCUGACAGACUGAUGGAGUCGAGCUGAACCUAGCCCAUCCAUCGCCACGCUCAGUGCAGCCUUCCCUGCUGCAGAUCACUGACCAGAAAGACCUCACCCAUUUUUCACCCAGCGCAGUUCAUUUAUGUGGCUAUUCAGGAGGAAGUCUCGUAAGCCAGCCUCGAUCGUUGCUAAAAUCAAGAUAAGUGGCACUUAGCUUCCCUCUGAGCAGCUCUGCUCUCCAUUGGAAGGCCAGGCUCGUUUGGCAGGGCUUGCUCAGGACAAACUGACUUGGCUUACUACUUAUCUUGUCAUUUUCUGGAGUUUGCAAACUUGUUUGAAUCUUAUUUCCCUGUUUCUUACGUUUGUUAAGGUGAUAACUCUGUAAUUAUUUAUACAUCCAUUACCAUUUCUUUUCCUUAAGAUUUUCGUGCCUUGUUAAUGGAAUCUGUUGUAAUUAUUGGUCUGGGAAGAUCUGUUGGCCACAUAAUUUCCCUUUUUAGCAGGAGAAGCAGACCCUUGCAGCACUCCUGAACCAGGAGCACAGUGCAGACUGUUUCACUAUGGGGCCCCAAGAAGCCAAGGAGCACCAGGUGUAGCUGAGGGCAGGAUGCAGCCCGUGGUUGAUGAUACAACGAUCUCCUCUCACCAUAGAAAUGGCCUGUCAGGUGGUGACGAGACCAGCUAUUGAAAUAUGGAUGAGGGGCUUUUUCCCUCUCGCUCCCAGCUAGCUAAGUGCUGAGCUUAAGCAGAUCGCUUUGUCAUGCUAUUUGGAACUGCACAUUAUUUUCUCACUUUCUCUCGAGUAAUUUCUCAUACAUUUCCUGCUUACCUUUGAAUAGAAAUGCAGCUACUUUGGUCAUCCAUCAAAGCGGAGCUUGGUGACGGGAGGUUUUACAGUAAUACCGCCUGAUUCCUGGGCAGAAUAGGCAUCAGCACUCUGCAAAGAUAGAGUUGUCAGCACAGAUCAAAAACCUUGGCAAAACGAAGUGAUCCUUUCUUCUGCUGUCAAAGUCAGAAUUAAGAAGACAGCGGGAGAGAUGUAACGGUAUAAAUAGCAUGCAGACGCAGUAGGGUGAUAUUUGGGAUAUUUAAUGCCUUAAAAGUCAGGAGACUGAUGUUGCCCCCCAGAACACCUGCAAAACUGGGGUGCUCUGCAGGUGGCCUUCCUAGGUGAAAUAUUUAUUUCAAGGAUUAUUAAUUUUACCAACUCAAACUUCAAGCUCAAGUGUGGAAGAGAAUAGUUUAGACUGUUUGACAAAUACUCUCGGCAAAAUUCUUUGUGUUUGGAGAAGAAGCGUAACCUGGUGGAUAUCAACUCACUCAGAGAUGGGAGCUUCGAAGUGCAAAGUGACAUCCGUGCCCAGGACGUGUGACAGCGGCUCUUUGGCAUCGUGCAUGCUGCAGCUCUGGAUUAACAGGAGCAAACCCAACAGCAGCCACCUGAGCGCACCUCUCUGCAAAACUUCUUAAGCCCCAGCUUGCUCUAUGGCUAAGGAAAAGCAACGUCUUUCCCCAGUUUCCUGUGGAGAUGUCGUGCAGCAGCAGAACAAGCAGAGCAGACAGCUUCUGUCACUCCAGGCGGAUGCAGGUGGUGCUGGGUGCCUGUGUUCCUCCUCCGCUCUGCUCCGUGCAGCACCCACUGCUCCUGCGGCCGAGGGACGUGGGCUCUGACGGGCACAGCUGCUUGCUCCUGUCAGAGCGAUGCAGCAGGUCAGACGUAUCCUGACAAGGCAGGUUAUUGUCACGAUCCUGCCACUUCGUCAGCAGCUACGUGUUAGGAGAAACCUGUCAGUUCUGAGGAAUUUAAAAGGGAGCAGGAAGGCUGUGCCAGAGCUCCGGAGGGAGAAGCAGCAAGGUCACCGUGUGUGUCUGCCUGGUCACAGGCAGCCCCAGCUGCCCCUACCACGCGGCUCCAUGCACGUCCUACAAACUGUCUGUCUGGGCCCCAAGUCCUGGCCAGGCGUGUGUCCCAAACAUUUGCUGUCUGUUACUUUUUGGUCUUUAUAUUCGUGGCCAUCUAUGUUAACCUGGAUUUUCUACCUAAGUACAAUUCUUCUCUCUCCGAUCAUAGCAAUGAUGUAUUUAUUACACAGAACUAUUGACCAUGCUGCUGGCCUUGAUUUCACUCACCUGUAGGAUCUUCUUGUAUGAGCAACUCUCCAUUUGCUCAUCACCUUGCUGCUGCCUUCUGCUGCUGCUUCGUUUUCAGUUUUCCUUUCACGUGGCUCGUGGUAGGCAUGGCGUUACCCUGUCUGUACGCCCAGUGGCAAGCUGCAGAGUCUCUAUAUGAACUUAAAUGCGAAGUAGCACCUCAUUCAGGGGAAAUCAGGCCUUUUUAUAGAAGAGGAUUGGACUUAAAAAUGAGCUUGAGACAUAUGACACGUGUUUGGGGUAAAAAUAAGAAGAAACUCCAGAUAAUGUGGAGUGUUUGACUAGGGCAACCAACUUAGCAAGUGGAGGCUGGGAGGCAGACGUGAGGCUCUGGAUGUGUGGACAGCAGGGAGAUCACUCCAUAUAUCCUGUUGGGAUUUCAGGUAUUUCUCAGGCUGCUUGAAGUGCUGGAAAGGAUCAGGUUCUCUUGUGCUGGAUGAAGAACCGGAAUGUAAGACAGCUGUCUGACAACUGCAGUGCCAAGGGAGUGGGAGUGCCACUGGAUCUGUGAAAGCCAUCGUGCCCCAGGGGUCAGGUAUUGUCUGGAAGAAGGGCGCCUUUUCCAGGCAAGAGUUCUGCUCUGUAAGGAAGCUUCACAGAGCCCAAAAUCAUCUGGAGAACAAUUUCUCUAGCUGCAGGGAAAUGCUGAAUGGCUUCCACAACGUCUGGAAUAGCUGCUAUAGCUGUGAGGAACCAACUUCGCGGCUUCCAUACCCCAACAGCUUGAGGGUAAGAAGAAAUCUGCCAUCCAUGGGAAACAAAUUAUUUUGUGAGGGUGGUUUUCAGUGAUGAUGGGUUGGAACCCAAAGGGGCAUCCAAUGGAGCCAAGCUCACCUUAUAAUCAGUCUAAAGCCUCCAAAGAAUGUCCUCAUCCCUUUUCCCCACCUCUCCCCUCAAGUUCUCCUGCGAUCCACAGGUAGCUUUUGCAGGUCAUUGUACGGGGUCGGUGUAUAAAAUCUGGAGAUUAAGAGGAUAUUUUCCGUCUCUUUGUCCUUGGAAAACAAACUUCCUUGCAGAAUUAGUGAAUGGUUCUACCUGCCCAACUUCUCAUCUGUGUCUGUGGCUGGUAACCGUAUGCUGGGUGGUUGUGGAUAAGUUUAUAUAAGUAUUAAUAUUUAUUUUGGGAAGAUUUUAGUGAUUUGGAUGACAAAUAUUCAAAACGAUCUAUCUUUGAGUAUUUCAAGAAAUAGAGCUAUUUCAGAUUCAAGACGUUAUUCAAAAUUUCCUUUCAGUGUGUAUUCAAAAUGGAACUCUUUGAAUCCUCCCCAAAGUACUUAACAAGGAUUUUCAUGGUGGAUAACCUGUUUUUUCUCCAAGCGACUGAAGUGCGAACAUUAGGUUGUAUAAUCUAUUUUUACUUACUGAAAGAAAUGGAACAAGAAAAACUGUUGGCUUUGUUGUUGUUGUUGUUUUUCCAGGCUUCUGCAAAGGAGGGAAAUCCAAGCAAGAAAAAUGUUUGGAGCCCAUGGGCUCCGGGUGAUGUUUGUUUCUUAUAACAUUCUGUUUGCAGAUGCAAUUAUAAUGGAAAAGUCGAGCUUUUCCAGAGACCAAUUUUAUGUAUAACAGAACUUUGAUCUAUGAUUUCUGUUGCCUGUUCACAAGGGGGAAAAAAAAGAAAUAUUGCAGAGGGAGUCCAGGGGAAAGGGAGAAAAAAAAUCAAUAUUAGCAGCACAAAGCAGAAAUACAUUUAAGAUGAGUCUGUGGCACACUGUUCUCAGCGUUAAGCUCUGCAAAUGGCACGUCCUUGGAUGCAAAGAGGGUCUGAGGAUGCUGGUGGUAAGCAGCGAUAAUAUUAAACAGUUGAUGAUGCAGAAAUCUGCAUUGCACGUAGAGCAGAAUUUCCCAGUGACUCGGGAAAAGGAGGUGAAUUUUAGAAUGGAAAAAAGAGAAUUCUCGUGGGAGAAUCACAUUUUGAAAUGUGAUUUCUGCUGCUCAACAUUGUGAAGCACUUGGCAUGAUCAAAGAGGUGCAAAUCCCAUCCCGGGUAAGGGACCAUGGCUCAGCCAGCACAGGGUUUGAUACUGAAGACAAGAACUGAAGAUAUUUCACCUUAGGAAAGCUGAGAACACGAUGCAUGUGCAUUGUAGGGGUACUUGGAGAAGCUUUGUGUACAGGUCCUCUUGCUGACCUGCUUUCCAGCCUGCUCCCAGCACAGAGACAUUUGUGAAGUUGUACAUGAAGCUGAUCUAAGGUAGAUCUACCUUAAAGUAAUUCUGGUUCUCCUCCUUACCCUAGUUUUUAUUUUCUGUAUUUUCUAUACUUUCUUCUCAUCAUUCUUUUCACAAAGAGGUGCCUAUCUUGUCUGCUAGGCAAUUUGUUAUUACCUUAUUCAAAUCAGAAACUAUCAUUUUGUUGUUAAUGGAAUUACACUGUUGGUGAUGUAUGCACUAAUACAGACGUUAACACCUGGGCAAACACUGGUUUCACUUUAUUGUACAGGAAACCUAUGGAAGUAAGGACUAAGAUACUGCUUUGCAAUAAUUUUUCAGAAUUUGUGAAUAUAUAUAUAUAUAUAUAUAUUAUCACCAAAAAAACAAUUUUCACAUCAGAGGGGGAAAAAAAAACCACCCACCACCCAACAAACAAACUAGCUUUGAUCUGUUCUCAUUUGUUUCUGCUCUCAUUAAUAUCCAACCCACGCUUCAGCGGUGCCAGCAGUUCUUCUCUUUGGCACUUCAUUCCCCUACUCCAAAACACUUGCAUGAGUAGGUGCCCAGGAAAAGCCACUCUUAGCAACAUCUCAGUACCAUUCGUAUAUAUUUAUAUAUCUAUGAAUGUAUCUAUAUGCACACACAAACAGGAAGCCCCAACCACCUACAAGAUUACACGUCCCUGUUAUUUGCUUGUGGUAUCUGUGAUAGUUUAGGACUCGAUACAGUUGGAUAGAAGAACACUUGAAAUCAAAGCUCACCAACUCAGUGGGGAUUAGUUUUAUGGCUACAGUAAGUGUAUGGCGUAUUUUCUAUUAUAUAGGCUAUUCUAUUUCUAUUAUAUUUAUGUGAGCUAAAAUAAAAUAUACAGGCAUAACUUUCCCUUUUGAAAAUAGUUUAUAGCACUAAUUGUAUAUUGGAGUUGAUGAUGUUCUUCCAUCUGCAUCACCAUAACUGUAGCCAGCUUCAAACACGCAUGGCUGACACCUGGGAAAGCAAAGCAAACAUAAAAAGAAAUAUUAAAAACAAAAACAAAAACAAAAAAAAGCUUUAAUUGAAAAUGUGACCCUGCCACUGAAAAGGAGCCAAUCUAUAAGAAAUGCUGGUGAUUGCUGUCGGUAAAAGUUGGCCUCCAGAAAGGUCUUCAGCCUCUGUGCUUAGAAAACUCUAACAACCGUUCCUCACCCCUCACCUUCGGUGGCUUUGCACUUGGUGUUGUUUCAGAAAUUGAAUUUGCUGAAGUUGUACUUGGAGUCAUAAGAUCCUCAGUGUCAGGUGUGUGUGGGUGAGUGCUCCUGCAGCCAUGGGGACUCGCUGGCCGUCUUCAAGGCUGUCCUGCCCCAGCUAAAGCACAGUGCUGCAGAAAGCAGCCUUCUCAGGGAGGUGCCUGGAAGGCUUUGGUGCAAGUGGGCUCCACUUGUGCAGAACUGUGCAGUCCCUGAGUACAUGCAUGUACCCUGUACUGAUGACGUUUUCAGGCGUAGUAAAAUGUUCCUUACGAACUGUUGUGCAGACAGGACUGGUUGUUGGGGAAAAUAAGUAGAAGAGAGGAUAGGGAAGUCGGGAUGCUUUACAUUUGAGCAGAGGAUGAAGGGAAGCCUUCUGCUUCCCAGUCUGCUUUCCAAAUCCCCUGGUUGCAGGAGGAGAUUUUGAUGAUCCCUGUGAAGCUGAACAGCGCAGGCCCAGAGGUUUCUCAUGGGUGUUAGGACCCUGGCACGAGACCAGUGGCUCCAGUGUCUGUAACCCAGAGCAAUGCCUAAUCUUGUAGUGUUGCUGCUACUAUUUCUGCUGUCUUCUCUUUGGACUUCGAGACUUCUUAAGACUUUGAAAGGUCUUAUUUCAAUCUAAAGUGUGGAGGGGAAAAAAAAAAAAAGGUGUGAAUGUUUCUGCACGGGAGGAUUUGUUCAUUGCCAGGCAGCCUUGUUGGUCUGAGCCAUCCUGGGUGUCACUGGUGUUGGAGCCAUGCCCGGGAACUGAAGGGAGGAAUGAACCCAUCACAUUUUCAUGAUUUUGUAAAGCCAAGGAGGAAGAGGCUUUUUGCCUGUCAGACUCGCUAACUGCACGUUGCUUUGCAGAAAGGCUGAUGUUCACAUACAGACGUUAGGGACCAAGGGGAACGUCUGCCCAGGCCGCAUCCUUGUCACAGUCCGGUACCUGCUGCCUGCAGAAGUGAGAGAGCAGGCCCUCAGAGGAUGAGCUGCACAAACACCGAGGUCACAGUCUGAGAUUCAGGGCUCUGAAGCAACAGCAGUUCUCAGUUUGCGUGGCUGGAGAGUGGGGGCAUCCUUUGUUCCCCAAGAAACUGCAAGGGAAAGGGAGCCUGGGCAGUGUGAGCAGUCUGCAGGAAGGCCGGCUUUCUUGCUGAGAUGUGAUUCUUCAUCUGCAAUUUUUCAGGAGCUUAAAUCCUGAACGGCAGGCCAGGUGCCAACAGAAGGACAAAAUGAUCAGGCAGAGCUCUGCUGGGGCCACGUUCCUGCUGCCUGCUCGGCCGGAGCACAUCCUCCCCUCCCCUUGCCGGGACAGGAAGAAUAAAGGAGAAGAAUACAAUUACCGAAGGGGUUUGUGCCAAACCUGCUACACGGAUCGCUUGUUUUGACUGAGGUAUUGUCUGCAGAAAGCUUUUCAAUGGUUUUAAGCCAGAAAAAUUGAAAAGACUCCGUAGCUACAGGAAAGAUAAGAUAAAGGAGGGGAAGGAGUGUGCUCAGCCUGCGGAUGGCUGUAGAUCGCUGGUUCCCCUGGGCUCCUGGAGGGGGAACUUUUCCAUAUCUAAGCCAGGUUGUCAUGCACUAAGUAGCUAUGGAAAUAGGAAGGUCACACCUUCCAAGCUGGCAUCAUCUUCCCCUUCCAGCUGCCAGUACGGGUGGUUGCAACGAGACAUCCUGAAACCUCAUGAGAUGUCUGUGCUGUUGGAGAAACAGUGUCACCAUAUCAGCUGGGCAGGCUGAGGAGUGGGGAUAGGAAAGGUGUGUAUCCAUCCUUGAACCAGGGGUUUUAGUAUUCAUUUCAGCAGCAUGUCACCGGGGAAAAGUAAAUGAGAACGACUAUCUUCAACUUUGUGUUCUUGGUAGGGAGCAUGUAGUCUGUAGGAAGAAGACUGUGGCUAAACUGUACCCAAACCAAGGGGCAGCUGGCACCUGUGAGUGGAGCCUGAUGUGCCAUUGUGCUGUGUGCUCUGAGCUGCCCUGGGCACGUGGCCAUAGAGCAUGGUCACUGCUGUGCAGUGCUGGCAGCUCUGUGCAUCGUCAUAAUGCUGGUGGCACUGGGAGCACGGUGUGAUGUGAGCUUUCCUGGCACCAAUCUGCUCAGAGGAGCUACAGCUUUUACUCAAAGGUUGUUGAAAGUCCAUUGUAUCAAUAUUUGCAAGCGAGAAAAAGUUUCUGAGAAGUGAUGUGACCUGCAGAGUUAACAUCAGCAAGACAGUAAGUCGCCUUGGCACUUUGUUGAGUAUCUCUGUCACAGCCACCUUGCAAUAGCAAAUCUGCCUCUCUUUCCUGCAGUGUGCUGCAUUGGUGACUGUGUCCUUGUGGAGUCCUAGCACAGCUGGGGCUGGAGGCAACUCUGGGGCCCUCUGAACCUCUGACCCAGCACCACAGCCGGGGACUUCUGGAGGUCCCCAAAGAGGAGACCCUACAGCCUCUCUGCUCCCUGUGCCAGCACCCUCUCAGCUCAGCAAUGUUUCUGAUAGGCAGGGGUAGCUCCUGGGCUCCAGGCUGUGUGCAUUGCCUCUUUGAUGCCUAUGUCUUUUUGGCAGCCUGUCCUGGAAUGAACUCAGAGGUGAAUGGGGAUAAGAUUUUUGCAGCCCCUGGAUGCACAUUACAAUCUGAUUGUCAGGUUUGGUAGAGUGGUCUGAAAAGUGAUUGGUUUUUUCUCUCCCUGUACCUGGAUAAAAAUUUUUGCUCUAUUUGCUUACUUCACUGUGGGUUCACUUCAUUUUUCCAAGCUAUCUCCUGCUGUUACAGCCUGUGGCUCUGCUUACUGCUUGCUUUCCUGUCCUGCCACUGUCCCCUUUGCCAUGCGCUCCAAGCACCUGCAGGUGCUGAAUGAAUGGCAAAAGGGGACAGAAGAGGGUUGGUGGGGAAGGGCUGGUGGGGGCAGCUAGGCCAGGGAACCUCAUGCAGGCUGCUGGGCUUUGCAGUGGGAUGUCAGUGCCUUGCACAGCUGUGGGAACUGCAUGGAGUGCUGCUGCUCACUGCAUCUGCAUCUUCUGCUGCAAUCCCCUGGGCUCCAUGCUGCCUGCAGUGACCGCACAUAGUAUGAAAUCCAGUCCUUUUCUCUUGAAAAUAUCACCACACAGGCUUGUUAAUUCCUUCUGCCUCUUCACUACUUGGUCAUUCUACUCCUCUCCGUUUAAAUCUUUAGUGGCUCUUAGGGAAGAAAAUCAGAAAAUAGAGCCUGGUCUAUUAGAGAAAUGCCCACCAGCAUGGCCUGUGCUUGGAGUGCUGCACAUUAUGUGCUGCGUUUUGUGAAGGCCUGGCUGGGAGCACAGGGCUGGGCACUGGGGAUGGCAGCCAUGCCAAAGGGAAGAGGCACUACAUGUGUCCUGAGUGAUGGGAGCCUGGCAAUGGGAAGGUCACAGAGCUGCCUCCCCAUCCUAAAACUCCAGGGUGCAGUGCCACUAAAGAAGGCAUGAAAUUGCAGCUAAUGAGCAAACCAUCUCAAAUUUUACACGUUUUUGCUCCUUGAAAAAAAAAAAAACCAAAAAAAACCAGUUGCUCGUGCAGUUAAACAGUCCAUUUGCUUCCCCCUCCUCUGCAUUUCAAGGUCAGGCUGUUGCCAUUCGGCAUGCAGCACAGCAUCAGCGCCGUCAGGGGGAGCAAGGACCUGCGGUGGGGAGGGUUUGGCAUAGACGAGAGGUUAAGAGCGAAGCUUAUUAAUGAAGGAUAGAAAAGGCGACAAGGAGAUAAACGCCAAACGCUUGUGUCACAAAGUUUGGUGUUAAAUGUCUUGGAGUAGACUGUACUUAUGAGCGUGAAGUUUUCAACACGUGUGCUUGAUGUGGGGGCAUUGGCCGUGUGUGGAUCCACUGCAGGUGGAGCUGGGGGCAUGAGGCUCCUGCCCCCGGGUGGGCCUGGCCCAAAGAGAAACGGGCCAAGAAAUCAUGGCUACAAUGCCCGCUUUGACAGAUAACUGUUGGGCUGUGUGUGUUUCUCCUCUUGCAGCCAUCCCACCGAGCCCCCCCGUGACACCGUGGUAAAUGAAUACGUUAUUUCAUCGGUGAAGGCCAUGCUACAUAAUGUAGAGCCGAUCAAUACGAACAGCAGAGCAAAACCUACAAUUCUUAUUACCAUCAUCUGCUGGGCCGUUAUCAACAUCAUAACGCUCCAUCUAUCUGUCUGUGUAUUGAGUAGUUCAGAAAACACCUCAGCAAGUCCAGCUCGUCGGUAGCAGUGCCCUCCCGGUGCGCUCCCUUCCGCAGGCCUCGGAGCCCUCCUCGGGCCGGGCCUGCAGCAGGGUGAUGCUGAGCGCCGAGUCGAGGCUUCCUCCAUGGAGGGAACUUCGGCUGAGAGAUUCCAAAUUAGCUAAAUUGAAUCGGAACGUGGCAAUGCGGUUCAAUAAUUGCGUUUACGGCCAGCGUGCUUCAAAACGAACAAAUCAUUCUGACAGAAAACUGAGCAGCUGAUGAUAAACUCGGAUGGAAGUAUGAGAUGGUACAUAUGAAAGUGAUAGUUUUUAAGAAGCCUUUAAUACAUCUUGCGCUAUGGUCGUUAAUAUAGCAUACGUUCAAGAUACUUCUACCCAAGCUUUCAGUUCUCUUUCUUUGUUUGUUUAAUUCCUGUUUAAUGAAAUGUUGAUGGAGGAUGAGUAAUACGUUGUCUUUGGGCAUCUCAAUAGCAAUCAUUAUUUUCCACUUAAAAUUAAAUUACGUUUGAAUUUUGGUUAUAUACUUUUUAAUAGCUACAAAUGAUUGUGCCAUUAUCUUAAUACAGUGCAAUUUAUCACCUAGGAAAACAAAUAAAUAAAUAAAUCUGCUAAAGAGAAGAGGCAAACUAUGGAGGAGAUGGAGAGCAAAGGAGAAGGCGCUUUGGGUGGGAGUUAAGGUCAUGUUCAGUUCUCUACCAUGAAUAACUGGGAUCCUCAUGCAGUGUGGUUACCACCAUAGACGUAUGGCUCUGCCUUUGAACCCGAGCUGUGUUUAAGAGCAGCGAGAGGCUCUGUGCAGCAGAGACCACUCAUUCUGCAGAGCCCAGCGGACAUCUGCUGCUGCCUGCUACUGAGCUGUGCCCUCCCUGCUCCCUGAUGUGUCUGUGGGCUCCAUGUCGUCUGGCAACGUUUCCCACCCACACUGCUCGGCACAAAACACAGACUUGGCUCCUUUUUUUCCCAUGCAUUUCGUGACAGCUUUUUUUAGGUGUCUUGUGGACUUAGCAUACUCGCGGCAUAAGGGAAAGUAAAAAAUACCUUAAUUAUCAGCUGGUUUUGAACAUGCCCGCAUCUUUCAGCUCCACCCGCCACUGCAAAAAAGCAGGAGAGCAAGGUGCAAUGGUUCAGAAGUGCUUAUGUGUAAGAAACGAUGCUCUGGCUAAUCCCCUGCUGGUGCCUCUCUUCUUUUCCACCGGCUGUUUUGCAGAGAGAAUCGCCAGCAUGCAGCCAGGGCUGGCCACUGCAGAUCAUUACAGACACAGUAUCAGAAAAGCCUGUUUAACGCACCUUUGUGUAAGCACUCUUAAAACAGUGCUGUUAAACUUUCAAAUACUCAAUGCAUUUGCAAUUUCUGUUCCUGCGUGGUCAAGAAAAAUGAACCCCCAAAGCUUUACGUGUGUGUGUGUGCCUGGCAGCCUCUCCCGUGGCAGAACAGCACGUUACACACCGUGGUUCCUAUGGGUGGCACAGUCUGGGUGCUGCAGGAGGGCCUGCAUGAAGAGGCAGCAUCAUUGGAGGAAGCUGAGGUGGAGAGUGGGCUCUUCACCUUCCCUGAGAGUGCAGGGCUGUGUAGGCAGCAGGCAGGCAGGACUGGCAAGUCCCUGCAGUGUCCUCUGAGUUUGUUUCCAUGGAGUUUUGCCCUACAAAGAACCCAAAAUUUUAAUGCCAGUGCACAUUAAUGCAGAGGACUGGAGCAGGCUUCCCAGAGGGACGGCUGAUGCCUCAUGGCUCUCAGUGUUCAGGAAGCAAUGUCCUCAAUAACAGGCUUUAAGUUUUGGUCAGCACUGAAAUGGUCAGGCAGCUGGACUGAGUGGUCUUUGUAGGUCCCUUCCAAAUGUUCUGUUCUGUUCUAUCCUAUCCCAUUCUAUCCCAUCCUGUUCAGUUCUGUUCCAUCCCAUCUCAUCCUAUUAGGACAAUCUAGCUAGAAGCAAUUAUCACAAGCAUAUGUAGAACUUUCCAGUGAAAUCUGUAACCAUAGUUGUAUGGGAACUGCUGAGUCAUGGCCUGAACCACUGAUUGAGCACCUGGAGGGAAGACCCAGUCAGCCCUGGGAGCACAGGUGGAGGCAAUUCACUGUGUGACUGGAAGAAGGGCUGACUGCACUGAGGAAGGAUCUCUUUCUGGAGAUCCCUGCUUGGUGGAAGGUUUUCCUUACAAACCCAGAAUCUUCUGAUAUGGGGUGAGUGAUCUACUUCCCUUCGCUUGUAGCACCUUCUUAUCAUGCUGCUCCUUCCACUCCUUUUGUAACACCUUUUCCAUCAUGUUCAUCUUUCUGAUUGCUACAAUAGUAAAACUCCAUAAAUGUAAUAUCUGAUUCUUUACUGAUGGCAGUAUUCAUGUGAGCAUUUUAUUUUUCAUUUAAAUAAUGUUUUAAUCUCAUACCACAUUAAUGUUUGCACAUUAAUGUCUCUUUAUUCUCGUUUGGCCAGACUCUGCACCUGCACAAUUCAGAGGUGCAGCUCAGAGCCCUUCUGAGCUGAACAUAAGGCCCAGACUGAUGAACAUGGCAUCCACGUGUCAGCCUGGGGGAACUGAAUGUUGUUUCUGCAUUAGAACAAGAUAAGAAUUUUCUUAAUUUCAUGGCCUCUGCUGCCGUUUGGGUCUUUUAUUAAAACUCAUAGUUCUUUUCUGAGGACUUUCUACUUUAUUAGGGUUCUCUGAUAGUUAUCAUUACUUAUUCUCUUAGAUAAACCUUCCCCAGCAAUGCAUACUCAGUGUAUAAGUAAUAUAUACGUACAUAUAUAUCCAUAGAGAUAAGGUGGAUGGAGUAAACAUGAGGACUGCAGCUCCUGUCUAUCCAGCCAUCUGAAAAGCUUCUGGGCCUUCAGUUAAAGGGAAGCUAGGUGUAAUAAUACCUUUACAAAUCAGAAACCCCUUGAUGUUGGAAAACUACUAAUUUUUAGUGCUGGAUAGACAGGGCCUGAGUAAUAGAGAAACAAAGGAGGAGAAGUUAAAUAAUUAACAGCAUACAUAAGUUGUUGCUAGCUUAUAUAUGUAUAGCCAGCAUGAAAAUAUAUUUUGUCAUACACGUUGCAAGAAUAUCCUGCACAAAUUAAAAGGACAAGUCAUGGCAUGGCUUAGGGAGGGCCUGAAGAAGGGACUGAGGAAGGCCUGGCACCUCCCCACCCCCAUGGUACUCUUUGUUUAACAAAGACUUUGAAGAAAAUCACCAUAUCAAUGCGACAAGAAGAGUACUGAGACAUCUUAGAAACAACAGGAUGGCUACUGACUGACACCAGAUAGCAAGUGCUUAACAAAUGGAAACCUUCAAUAGGAUCGUGAACCUGGAGUACCCAGCCAAUGGAGGAACAGGGGAGGGGGUAGGCAGGUGGGGAAACAAGCUACAAAAGCUGUCAUACUUUGUCCAUAGGUGCACUCCUGCGAGCAGGAUGCCCACCAUUGCAAUUGCAAAUUAGAUGUGCUUUGAUCAGAGAUACAGUCCUGACCAAUUAUUUGGAUAUUUCCAACAAGCCUGAGCAUUACGCUUCCAGAAGUCAUGACUUAAGGAUGUAAACGUGUUAUAAGGACUGGGAGUUAUAACGUGUACAAAGCCUGAUUAAAAAUGAUUUUGUCAUUAAAUUCAAUCUAGUUCCCUCAUCACUGUUUUCGCUUGGAUUGUAAAAAUUCCUGAGGAAAGACAUAUCUUCUGUUUAUGUUUGUGGCCAUGAACUUCACGGUACCGUAAUCCCCGACAAUGUAUUCAGUUGAUAACAUAAUCACGUUCACAAACAAGAGUUGUUUAACUCCUUGUGCUACCUUGGGCCUUUCAUCUCCUACUUCUGAGACCCCAGCAAAGCAUCCCCACGGCCUGGCAGCCAGAGACCUGCCCUCAGCCCUGCUGGCAGCGAGACCCUAGGGCCCCGUCCGUGUCCACAGAAGGGUUUUACAAUGUUUAACUUGAAACUUUGGUUAUUAAAUACAUCAUUCUUCUCUACACUGACACCUAGCAUCUCAAAUUCCCUUUCUCUUUCUAUCAGGCUUUUACUUAUUUGCAGAAUGUUAUUACUUUUCCUUGCAGUCUUUUCUUUAGGUUGAAUAAUCGUAAUUCUUUCCAUCUUUCCUCAUCAACUGUAACUUCAAGAGCUCUGGUGACACUUAUUGCUGCUCCCAGUCUCUCUGUAGCUACCUCAUGUCUUGCAGGAAGCCUGAUGCUCAGAGCAGCAGUGGAGACCUUCCCAUGCCCAUUGCGUGGGGAGAUCCUCUUCAUCCCACUUGAAGCACAACUAAAGCCUAAAAUCUUGGCUGACAACUUCACUGCCAACCUCUACUGCUGGAGCAAAACAGUGCUAAGAACACAGCAUAUAUUAGACAUUUUUAUCUUCAGUAACUGAGGAGGUUAUUGAUUGGAUAUGUUUUUUUCCAGCUUUGCACCUUAUUUUAUAUUUGUUCACAUCAAUCUCCAUUGACAUCUAUUGAUUAUAAACAUCAUUUAUAGGCAUGAACCCAUUCUUUUUCCUUUCUUCUACUUUGUCAUUAUCUUCAUCUUUUUGCUUUCUACAAAUUAUAAGGAACCGUGAGAUAAAAAUAUUCUCUACGUACAAAGUGACCUCUUUUGAAAAGGCUGAAAUAUGAAUGAUGAAAAAAAUAAAGAUCUUCUUUCUACUAUGCUGAAUAAAGUCAUCACGAUCUCUCAGAGAAGCCCUUCGAGCACAUAGGCUGAUAGUACAAGAGCAGCACUGGUUAGGAGGUAGCCUCGUGCAGUGGUGGAGAGUCCUUCCUAUGGAAGGACUUCCCAAAGAAUGGGCAACUCAAAAAGUAUGAGAGACAGGACCCUGGGCAUAGCUACCUACUGUCUGGCUUUCAAUUUUCUACAAGGAUCUAUUUUCAGCUGCACCUCUGGAUCCAGAAAGAGCCCUAGAAAUAGAAGGGCAUUGGUUUUAUUCAGUUAAAAUGCAUAUUGCUGGCUUCACUGAUUUGAUUUGGUCUCGAUAAUAAAUGCUAAUAAUUCCUUUUGGUUAGCUGAAACAGGGAACCUUAAAAUGUCUGUCCCAUAGGGACAUUUAUGCAUUACCUUUCUGCUCUGGGAGGUGUGUAUUUGCUGUAGGGGGUUUCUUCAUCUUCAGUCUUACAGCACCUUAGGCUUAUUUUUAAAUAUUUUGUAACCCAGUAUGCUAAGUACUCAUUGAGACCCAGCGAAAGCAUGACUUUUUUCACCCUCUAGCUAUUAAUAAAAGCACACUCCGUCCUGUCCCAGCUGGCCCAAACAGAGAGCUGAUGGGUUUGCUAGGGGCUCAGAGCUGCACUGAAACAAAUGAGGUAGCAGUCACCUGGCCACAGUACAACUGCUGUCACAGCCAGAGCAAGAGGAGCCCAGGCAAGGCCUCACACCCUGCUGUCAGGUCAGCACUAAGCCGCAAGCGUUUUGUUAGUAAUGGUAAAACCUGCAUUUUCUGGGCUGUACCUGUUAGCUUCCGUGCAAGGAAAAUGGAGCUUUUUGUGUACAUCCCUCUGCCCUUGCAGUGACGCUGCUGCUGCUGAUUCAUCACAGUCUGAUUCUGACAGAGAAUCUUUUAUGACAGUGAGGAAGCUCCGGAUUUUGGGAAGACUCUCCUACUGGUAAGAGCUUUGCCUCCUGCCUGCCUCAAGAGGAGCUACGGGAGAAGAUGCAGUUCCAUAGCAUCACAGCCCCGCCUCAGCCAGGGGAAUGCCAUAGGAUGGAUAAGCUGCAGCAAUGGCUAACAACACAGCUACUGGGAAAACAACAACAACAACAAGGUUUUCUUACACUCACUUAAGAAACAGAACAAUGCAACCGUUCCCUGUCACUGUAAUCGCAGCCUCGUGGCCCUGGAGACCCCGAGGCAGUAACAAAUUAGGAAGGAAGGAAAUAUUUCCAGGGCCAAGGAAGAGUCAGCUGAAAAUUAAACACGUUGGCAUGGGAAGGAAGAGUCGGAGAGGAAAAUAAGGAGCAGGAACAAUUCAGUACUUGUGCACCACUUGCUGCAAUUUCAGAGAUGCUUUGAGGUGGUGAGGGCUGCGUGCACACUGUGCAGGGCCAUGCAGGCAAAGGCCGAUGUGGGCUGCGCCGUGUUGCUUUGUGUAUUUGAGUUUCCUAUGAAAGAACCCCUACUUAAGCCACAGAUGGUUUUUAAGAGGGAUUUAAUUGCACUCUUCAUUUUACACCUUCCACACAGAACCUCUCUAAAGAUCGAUACAUGCUACGUUUUGACAGCUCAUGUGUUGAGCUCACCCGGAGCGUGGAUCCUGAAUGAAUAUUCACACCACACAUGGAGGCUCAGAAGUCAGCAAAUGCCAGAUAUUGAUCAUCUCCUUCGUGCUCCUCAGCGCCGCCUGCUCACACACGUGGCUCUCAGUGCCAUCCCAUGUAGGCUGCCCCACAGGCUGGAACAGUUCCCCAGAGAUCUGGGCAGACAGGCUCUGCUCUUAGGAAGCACAGUUACAGAAGUAAUGCCACACUGGCCGAACUGUUAGGUACAAAGUAGAUGAAAGGAAGAAGGAGGACUCCUGUAAAAUGAUACUGCUUUAUCAUGCACCACAGCACCGUCCUGCUUCAGCCAUGAGGACUGAAUGCCACGAGUCCUGCCACAAUAACCAGUAUCUGAAUAAUGGGUCAUGAAACAAGGAAGGGACUUAGCACCGUGCCAAGGUCCAUUUGUGUCGCACAACUCUGCUGUAAAGGGCAUCAGCUUUACAAGCCCCCAUAUCUCAAUGUAUCCUGCUCAAAAUCAGGCAGAUACUCUGGUUUUACUUGGAAAGUCUUUGUGGUGCACAGAGAGAAUUGCAGUAAGAGAGGACUGUAGAGAAGAGAGGGAAAAAUGAUGAACAAGAGGAAUUCUAAAAUGAUUUCUGCAAUUUACGGCCUGCAGAAGCAAUAAGAGACCCCGUUCUGCCACUGCUUAUGUAAUAUAUGUUCUGUACGGUCUCAUAAACUACGUGGCUGCAGCACUUUGCAUAGCCUUUCUGUAUAAUUAAGAUGGAAAUGGGUUUUGUGGCUCUAGCAGCAGGGCUUCCCAGGGAUGGCAGGAGGAGGCGGGAGGGGCUGGGAUCACGGCAGUGGGGCGGCUCAGGGCUCGUGCUGCUUCUUAGAGCAGAGGGAAACACCAGCCUGGACCCAGCUGGUCCCACCGUGUGCCUGCAGCACCCACGGCCCCUUUGGAGCCACAAGGGCUUUCACAAGAAAUGCCAUCAGCGUGGAAGGGUGCCACGGACAAAAACUUCUUCCAUGGCAUUCGCGGCCCCUGCAGAAGCAUCUCCCAACCCAGGGAGCCACAGACCAGUCCAUGUGAGCCUGAGCCUGGGCAUUCUUCUUCCCCUGCCCACCCUCAUCCUGGGGCACUGCAGCUGUAACCACCAUAAACGAGGAGCUGCUCCUCAUAGCCACAAUCACCUCGGCCAGACGCAAGCUUCUUUCUGGUCCUCUGGCCAUCGGACAUGGAUGGUGAUGCUUUGUGUCCAUUCUUGUUGGGAUACGGCCCAUGGAUGGAGCCUGCAGCCCCUAUUGUUUCAAAGACAAGGUUUGUCCUUUAUAAGAAGCUCCUUCUUUAGAAAACAUUGGAUCAAGUCAGACCAAGCAUCAUUUGCAUGACAGAACAAGAAUAACCACGAGCUCAGAACUAGGGUACAUCACUCUCUGUGUUCUCCCUUAAAUGGCUGCAAGAAGCAAAUGCCCCAGAAGAGCAAUAAUACAGCAAGCAUAUUUGACUGCAUAGAGUUGUACUCCAAAUUUUUCUGUGAAGCAGAAGUUUGAAUAUAAUGUUCUGGAAAUGCUGGUGUGUGAAGUUUCCUUGCUGACGCACACUCCAGCUUACCCGAGCUGCAGAACCAGGAGGUCUGGGCUCUGAAACAAGAGAGGGCACCCUGGCUGCUUGAAAUGACAUCUCUUCUGAGACGGUUUAAAUAAGUUGAUUUCUGCUAUACAAUAGGAAAACUGUUCAGAAAGGAUUUUUUUACAUGCAUUUCUGGCCCUCUGGACUCCUGUUUCCAGACCACUGAAGUUCACCAGCAUAAUGCUGCAGUUCUGGAGCUGUGGAUCCUGACAGCACUCCUGACUCCAAUACUCUGGCAAGCAGCUGCAAGAACUACAUCCUUACACCCUUACAGGAACUACAUCCUUACACCCUGCCCUUUUCUUUCUUUCUGGUAGAGGUGAUGAUGUGGUAUUUUUCUACAAACUCCUGAGAGCCUCUGUUGUUGUGAUUGUGCCAUCCAGCAAUGAACCUGUGCUGCCGAAAGCCUGAGACAAUGCUUCCAACACCAGUGCCAUCUCAUAUUCACCGCAUGGGACGGGGCCGUUGGAGGAGCGCUGCUCCUUUGAGGUUUCUCCUGGGCUUUCCUUUACCACCUUUCAUCACAUUGCCAGGAGCUGAGCACUGUCUGGAAUAGGCUCCCCCUGGGGACCUUUUCACCCUGAAGUUCUCAGAGGGACCACAGCGUGCAGAUGCAUUUCAGCUGCCCCACGUGCUAUCCACAAAACACCAAUGGCCCAAUGGAUGCACAGCUCUGCAGCAAGGACACACAUGGGGAGAGAGGCAGGAGGGCCCCGAGGCCACUUUUUCCUUCACUGCUCAUAUCUGAGACUAUUUUUUCCAAAUUCUCCAGGUACAGCUUGGCUGCGCUGAAACAAGUGGGCAGCGUGGGUACAGGAAGGAAGGCAUGCACUGCCUGGGAUAUUAAUUUCAAGGGGAAAGGAAAAGGUUAACUCAAAAGACCGAAAAAAAAAUGACUCAUCCUCAAGCUGAAAAAAGAAAGUGAACAGGAAGAAUUUUGGCAUUUAUGAUUCUUGUUGUCAUAGAAACUGAACUUGAUAUUUCUAUAGAGCGAUCUGUAGAGGUAACAAAUACUGUACUUUAUAGCAAUGAUGAAUUAAGAUCAACUUAAGAUUCCCAAUACAUUGUCAGGCAGAUCAAAUACCGGUUUGUUUUGUAUUGCCAAGUCGUUAUCAGAGUCCUUAAAAACCAUUGCUGAUAUAUUUAAAUGAAACUGAUCUGGUAUUUGCAGGUUAUUAUUAGAAUACAGAGAGGCUGGGGGAGAGGUUUUACAAUAGCCCAGCCAGAGUGCUCAGAUUUCCAUCAGAAAAGAGCACGUCUGGUGGGACACAGCUCUUGUUUGCCAUCACACAACCUCCUCUGGCACCUACAGCCAUGACCUGCAUAGGAAGUGGUGCUGUGCAAUGUUGUGGAUGUUGAGGGAAGGUCCCGUAGGUGAAACAAAGAGGAAACCUGGCACAAGGGGACUUGUCCCUUCUCAGGACAACAGCUGGGACGCCGUGGCUCCAGUCCUUCUCUAAGCCUUCUUUAUUAGGCCUUUUGGUGGCUGAUGUGACCAGCGUGGCUUGGCUUCCCCCAAAUCCUGGGCCUAUUAAAAUCUGGUGGUGCCACAUCCACAGUCUGAGGGUUUCAGCCGGCUGAGCACAUCCCAUGGGGAGCACUGUGCCUCUGAGACCAGCAGAGCCAGACACUCAAGCACUGUAGGGCUGUUGUGAACACGCAGCGUUACCUGCCAUUUAGUUCUGACUGCAGAACUUCUCUGAGUACGUUUCUGCUUCAAGGUAAGCAAUUCUUUAAAAAAGACAAAAUCACAUCUGUUUUUAACAGGUCCGUUUAUGAAUAACAUAUUGCAAUUCGCUGUACGUUAUUUCUCAUUAUUUUCAUCAACGAGCAAACAAAGGCAUUUAUCUUGGAAACCCGAAGUAUUUUUUAACAGGGAUUCAUUAACUUCAUUUCCCAUCAGGAUAGUUUUUGCCCUUCAUUAAGAGGGUUGAAAAAUCUGCUGUCAAAGUCAGGAUCCACUUGUUAAAAACUGAAAAUUGAGAUCAGGAAAGUCUUUUGCCUUCUCUUUGGUACAGGAGGGAACCGCUGACUUUCCAGACAGUCUUUCACAUCAGAUCUAUUUUUCUUUCUUUUUUCACGAAUCUCAGAACCUUCUCCAGUCACAUCUGCUAAAAAAUCCCAUCAGAAUGAGGCAAUGCACUGCAGCAUCACUCAUGUUAAUGCAAAACAGAGGGAAAGAGAAACGCCUAACACCUACCCUGUGCUUCAGAGCUCAUACAGUUAACGGUCCCUCCCCUGCCUAGGCUGCCCUGUGCCUACGGUCAGCAGUGUUUGCUUUGGCAUCUGCUCAAUCAGCGAUUCCCUGCGUCUGGUUUAGCAGAAGGCUUUUCCCGUGCUGCUGACUUCGGCGCUUCCUUUCCCCAUUGCUCCCGUGGCUAAUUUCACAGCUUCUCACUGCUGACUGCGAGUGAGGAUGCAGCAGCAGGAGCACAAGGCGAGAGGGAUGAGUGCUGCGGCAGAGCAGCAGCGCUGGCCCAGUGCUGCGUGCAGGAGGUGCCCUGUGGGCUCUGCAGGGUGGGGGUGAGCUGCAGCCAGGGGCUGCAAGGGGAACGCAGCCUCUGCUCCUCCUGCCAGCAGUGAGUGCACCCGAAUUAGGGCUGCGGCUAGCCCCACGCUUCCUGGGUCUUGUAUUUAGCUAGUUAAAAGACUGGAGAGAAAAUUUAUAUGGGACAACGAUGAAAGGAAUAAGACCAAGAUCGACAAAGGUGAAAUGACACUGAGAUAUUUUGUGGGCACUAACGAUGUCACAUAAAAACCUCAGGGAAGAUAAUGCACUCUUCUAUGCAAGAUAACUCUUCGUCCCAGACUCACAGCGGAAGAUGCACUCCUGUUCCCCUGUUAGGAAGGUGCACCAGUUAAUGGCCAGGGUGAGGCCAGAAGAUCCUUCUUGUUGCUGCCGAGCAUUGUAGGGACACGUACCUCUGGGAGUACCCAGCUCCUUUGUUUUUAGCUCUCACUUGGUGGAGCUUUUGCAGCGCUUUUUUUUAUAACUUGGCAUUCAAUACAUUCUUCUGCUAGAUGAACAGAAAAAAACCUCCGUAUCCUCACUUAUUCAUAAUAAAGUUUUAGUAAAGUGUGAGAGAGUUUUCUGAAAUGUACCAGAAAUCCUUCAGGUCUGGUCACAGCCAGAGCCUGCUGCUGGGGAAAGCUGCAGCGCCGUUCGUGCUAGCGAGGGGCUUGCUGCUUGCUCAGGAGGAGGUCAGUGCCUCCACUGCCAUGUGCCAUCACCAAGAGCUAAGCUAAACAGAUGAGAAGCUAAGGACUGUAGCAGGCGUGGCACUGCCUCUGAAUGCAGCUGCUCUGUGUUCAGCUUUCCGGAGCCUGAAAAUACCUACAGUGUUUCUGAGAGCUGGAGCAAGUUAUGUGAUCAGCCACCACGUUACUAUUCUGCUUUGAUAGCUUUAUUGAUUGUCGUGUUGUUGCAAAGAGCCCCGUCCCAACGCACAGAACUUGUUCAUAAUUGAUGUAAACCACACAGAUUUAUACUGCUGCUAAUUCUGUGGCUUACUGACUAAGCAGCUUCUAGAAGCAGGACAGCCCUGUCCCUGCGGUGCGCUUACAUCUGCCCAGAAGCUCACUGUCCACUUACGGAUUGUGUUGGAACGUUAUCUACACUUUAUUUUCCAUAUAACAUGAACCACACAGCUAGGAAGAAAUAUGUGAUGUUGAAGUGUUAAUUUAUUUCCAUGUUUUGCUUUUAAGAGUGCAUUUCCCAGAGAAUACCGAAGCUAUUGUUUAUGUCAUGUUUGAUUUCCUUUCUGGAGAUGGGAGAUGGACAAAGAUUUACUACAAGUAUUCCUUUCUGUGCCAAGGGAAUGGAUACACAUUAGUAACUUGACAGAAAAGAUGAAUCCUCUGGUGCCACUGCUGCUGUCCACUCUCCAAUCUUCCUUUAUAAUUAAUUAGCUGUCAGAUCUGCUAAAACUCAAAUAAUGGAUUACUGGAAUGCGAGGCAAAUUGGCCCUGAAAUUAAGACCCAAGUCUGGGAUGGUCUUCUUCCUGACCUUGCAACUCUCAUUAUUGAUUUUGAGUAAUUUCCACUUAUUGAAGAAAAACAAGAAUAAGGCAGAAGAAAAAAAAGAGGCUUUUUAAGGGGCUUUGUGCCAGGUGUGUUCUUAAAGAUUUGCUGCUUAGGGCAGUGAGCUCUGUUUACUACUUAAGUACACUAACCCAACUGAAAUAUGUAUUGCUCACAUGUUUCUAAGCUUCAGACUGAAAACAAGGAUCUGGAUUGAUUGUUGGUCCUUAGCACUUUACUUAGAGUAAAAUAUAAUUUGAAUAACUUGACUGAAUUAAUAAAACUAUUCAAGUUUGUCUUGAUUGUCAAGACCUUGAUAAAAUUGAGGACAUCUAUGGGAAAAAAAUACAACGUACAUUGGCCUACAUUUACAUUGACCAGCAUCAUCUUCUUUACUAUGGGACAAGGUCAUUUAUUAAACUUGAAUGUGUGUAAUUAAUCUCUCUUUAGUCUCUGGGUAAAUAUUUUUUACUUCAAUUUGAUGCUAAGGACGCAUGGCCCAGCCUGAUUGGGUUGUGAGAGGCAGACACAGGAGAGAUGUGGCACGGGUGCCUCUGCCCCGUCCUGCUGAUGGCUGCCAUGUCUUCCUCCUCCUGCUGCCCUGCUCAUCUGCUGCCACUGGAAAUGUGACCUAUGUCACCCUAGGACGUCUACCAGUGGGACAUCAAGUGCUCACAGAGGAAGCCUGGCUGAAGCAGCAAUGAGUUUUCUGAUGCACUCUGAAUCAAUUGGUUUCAGCAUUCUCUCAGUAAUUUGGACACCUUGGUGUUGUACAGAAGGCCUGUGAUGUAGUACACAUGAGAUUUGUUAUACUUCAUGGGCUCUGCUUCUGGGGAACAGAUAAAAGAACGAGGUAAACCCUGAUGUGAGGAAGUAUCCAAAAUACAGUACUUUGACUCUUGGUGUAUUUUAUAACAGCUCACAGGAGAACCUGCAGUAUGGCCAUAGAGUUUGGGUACAGCUGACAUGUCAGAGCCUACAGUUACUUUAGGAAGCACAAAUACAUCUGAAACACUGUAUCAAAGCAUCCUGAUGAGCUCCCUGUCCUACACAGAAGCCCCACACCAGGCACACUGCGCUGGAACUGCCCGUCCCAGGAAAGCAGCCACUGCUAAGCUAACACCGCACGUAGUGCUCUGCACUCUUGUUCUGGGAGGAGCUGCAUUUGAUUCUGUAAAACAAGCUGCCUCCUAAGAGCACAUUCUCCUGGCACUGAAGCACAGGCAGCAUUCUCCUGUCUGCUCCGCCAGGAUCACUCUGCUUGCUGCACACAGAGCUGAUGGAGCGAGGGAAGGAGCCUGGCCGAGCGAGGUGCACCAAGGCCAAGUGCCACCAGAAUCACGGGAGAGAGGAACGAGGGGUUCAUUCCUUGUGCUGCUGGUGUGAAGAGGGCUGCAUGGCCUCUGCUCCAGUAAGGGACACAAAGCCAUGAUCCUGUUACGGGAAGGUAGCGAGGGAUCUUCCAGCCACAUCAGAAGCAUCCGCUUUUGUCAAUUAGAUGCACGCUAACUGGCUUGAUGGAAACUAGCUGUGGCACUGCAGGACAGGAGAAGAUGCCUUUUCAUGAAUAAAUGAAAUGCAUGAGCGAUGCUUCCUUAAAAAAAAAAAAAAAAAAAAAAAGGAUAAAAA